AAGUUCUUCAAGAUAAACAGAAAGAAAAAGGACUAAAAUCAGACUUCUACAAGUAAACCAAGUUUUGAACAUCAGUUCUGUAACUUUAUAUGCAGAUUGACAUUCAAACCUCAAUAUUUACUUUGAGCAGCAAGCAUAUACC